UGGUGAAGGUCCCAGCAGAGGGGUGAAGAACUCUGGAAAUUGAGGCCUCUCUAACAAUUUAAUGCAAAACCUUCGUAAAUUCACUUAUUCGGCCGAAUCGUAGGAUGCCCCAAAUUAUUCUUUGUUUUGGUGCUUCUGGAACCCUCGGCUAAAUACAA